AACGAACGCUGGCGGCAGGCCUAACACAUGCAAGUCGAGCGAGGUAGCAAUACCUAGCGGCGGACGGGUGAGUAACGCGUGGGAACGUACCCUUUGCUACGGAAUAGCCCCGGGAAACUGGGAGUAAUACCGUAUGUGCCCUUCGGGGGAAAGAUUUAUCGGAGAAGGAUCGGCCCGCGUUGGAUAGGUAGUUGGUGGGGUAAUGGCCUACCAAGCCGACGAUCCAUAGCUGGUUUGAGAGGAUGAUCAGCCACACUGGGACUGAGACACGGCCCAGACUCCUACGGGAGGCAGCAGUAGGGAAUAUUGGACAAUGGGGGGAACCCUGAUCCAGCCAUGCCGCGUGAGGGAAGAAGGUCCUCUGGAUUGUAAACCUCUUUUUGGCAGGAAACAAACCUGCGCUAUACGCGCAGCUGAGGGUACCUGCAGAAUAAGCACCGGCUAACUCCGUG
rnacentral:rRNA from 1 species